GCAAGGGUCGUCUCUCAAAUUUGGUUGCUAAUUGAUUAAGUGGAAUGUCGUUUUUAGGCUAUGGUUUUGCUGCUGUGGUGUUUGCAUAAAAAAAACAACCAGGUGUGUAACGAAAAUAUCAAAAAAAUAGAAAACGGUGCGAUGUUGAAAAUUCACUGUCAAGCCACACGAGUUGAGUUAAGUGGACUAUGUGGGCCACACGGGCAUGUGUGAGGCUAUGUGUAAGACCGUGUGGGCCUAUUUUGUGUAAACUUUG
rnacentral:lncRNA from 1 species